GGCGGGACACGUGGUAUCCUGUCUGAAUAUGGGGGGACCAUCCUCCAAGGCUAAAUACUCCUGACUGACCGAUAGUGAACCAGUACCGUGAGGGAAAGGCGAAAAGAACCCCGGCGAGGGGAGUGAAAAAGAACCUGAAACCGUGUACGUACAAGCAGUGGGAGCACCCUUUGGGGUGUGACUGCGUACCUUUUGUAUAAUGGGUCAGCGACUUAUAUUCUGUAGCAAGGUUAACCGAAUAGGGGAGCCGGAGGGAAACCGAGUCUUAAUUGGGCGUUAAGUUGCAGGGUAUAGACCCGAAACCCGGUGAUCUAGCCAUGGGCAGGUUGAAGGUUGGGUAACACUAACUGGAGGACCGAACCGACUAAUGUUGAAAAAUUAGCGGAUGACCUGUGGCUGGGGGUGAAAGGCCAAUCAAACCGGGAGAUAGCUGGUUCUCCCCGAAAGCUAUUUAGGUAGCGCCUCGUGAAUUCAUCUCCGGGGGUAGAGCACUGUUUCGGCUAGGGGGCCAUCCCGGCUUACCAACCCGAUGCAAACUGCGAAUACCGGAGAAUGUUAUCACGGGAGACACACGGCGGGUGCUAACGUCCGUCGUGAAGAGGGAAACAACCCAGACCGCCAGCUAAGGUCCCAAAGUCAUGGUUAAGUGGGAAACGAUGUGGGAAGGCCCAGACAGCCAGGAUGUUGGCUUAGAAGCAGCCAUCAUUUAAAGAAAGCGUAAUAGCUCACUGGUCGAGUCGGCCUGCGCGGAAGAUGUAACGGGGCUAAACCAUGCACCGAAGCUGCGGCAGCGACGCUGAUGCGUUGUUGGGUAGGGGAGCGUUCUGUAAGCCUGUGAAGGUGGCCUGUGAGGGUUGCUGGAGGUAUCAGAAGUGCGAAUGCUGACAUAAGUAACGAUAAAGCGGGUGAAAAGCCCGCUCGCCGGAAGACCAAGGGUUCCUGUCCAACGUUAAUCGGGGCAGGGUGAGUCGACCCCUAAGGCGAGGCCGAAAGGCGUAGUCGAUGGGAAACGGGUUAAUAUUCCCGUACUUGGUGUUACUGCGAAGGGGGGACGGAGAAGGCUAUGUUGGCCGGGCGACGGUUGUCCCGGUUUAAGCGUGUAGGUGUGUGUUCCAGGUAAAUCCGGUUCACUUUAACACUGAGGCGUGAUGACGAGGCACUACGGUGCUGAAGCAACAAAUGCCCUGCUUCCAGGAAAAGCCUCUAAGCAUCAGGUAACAUCAAAUCGUACCCCAAACCGACACAGGUGGUCAGGUAGAGAAUACCAAGGCGCUUGAGAGAACUCGGGUGAAGGAACUAGGCAAAAUGGUGCCGUAACUUCGGGAGAAGGCACGCUGACACGUAGGUGAAGUGAUUUACUCAUGGAGCUGAAGUCAGUCGAAGAUACCAGCUGGCUGCAACUGUUUAUUAAAAACACAGCACUGUGCAAACACGAAAGUGGACGUAUACGGUGUGACGCCUGCCCGGUGCCGGAAGGUUAAUUGAUGGGGUCAGCGCAAGCGAAGCUCCUGAUCGAAGCCCCGGUAAACGGCGGCCGUAACUAUAACGGUCCUAAGGUAGCGAAAUUCCUUGUCGGGUAAGUUCCGACCUGCACGAAUGGCGUAAUGAUGGCCAGGCUGUCUCCACCCGAGACUCAGUGAAAUUGAACUCGCUGUGAAGAUGCAGUGUACCCGCGGCAAGACGGAAAGACCCCGUGAACCUUUACUAUAGCUUGACACUGAACAUUGAGCCUUGAUGUGUAGGAUAGGUGGGAGGCUUUGAAGUGUGGACGCCAGUCUGCAUGGAGCCGGCCUUGAAAUACCACCCUUUAAUGUUUGAUGUUCUAACGUGGACCCGUGAUCCGGGUUGCGGACAGUGUCUGGUGGGUAGUUUGACUGGGGCGGUCUCCUCCUAAAGAGUAACGGAGGAGCACGAAGGUUGGCUAAUCCUGGUCGGACAUCAGGAGGUUAGUGCAAUGGCAUAAGCCAGCUUGACUGCGAGCGUGACGGCGCGAGCAGGUGCGAAAGCAGGUCAUAGUGAUCCGGUGGUUCUGAAUGGAAGGGCCAUCGCUCAACGGAUAAAAGGUACUCCGGGGAUAACAGGCUGAUACCGCCCAAGAGUUCAUAUCGACGGCGGUGUUUGGCACCUCGAUGUCGGCUCAUCACAUCCUGGGGCUGAAGUAGGUCCCAAGGGUAUGGCUGUUCGCCAUUUAAAGUGGUACGCGAGCUGGGUUUAGAACGUCGUGAGACAGUUCGGUCCCUAUCUGCCGUGGGCGCUGGAGAACUGAGGGGGGCUGCUCCUAGUACGAGAGGACCGGAGUGGACGCAUCACUGGUGUUCGGGUUGUCAUGCCAAUGGCACUGCCCGGUAGCUAAAUGCGGAAGAGAUAAGUGCUGAAAGCAUCUAAGCACGAAACUUGCCCCGAGA
rnacentral:rRNA from 1 species